AGUGAACGCUGGCGGUAGGCCUAACACAUGCAAGUCGAACGGCAGCACAGUAAGAGCUUGCUCUUACGGGUGGCGAGUGGCGGACGUGUUAGGAAUACAUCGUAAUCUACUUUUUCGUGGGUGAUAACGUAGGGAAACUUACGCUAAUACCGCAUACGACCUACGGGUGAAAGCAUGGGAUCUUCGGACCUUUCGCGAUUGAAUGAGCCGAUGUCGGAUUAGCUAGUUGGCGGGGUAAAUGCCCACCAAGGCGACGAUCCGUAGCUGGUCUGAGAGGAUGAUCAGCCACACUGGAACUGAGACACGGUCCAGACUCCUACGGGAGGCAGCAGUGGGGAAUAUUGGACAAUGGGCGCAAGCCUGAUCCAGCCAUACCGCGUGGGUGAAGAAGGCCUUCGGGUUGUAAAGCCCUUUUGUUGGGAAAGAAAAGCAGCAGGUUAAUACCCCGCUGUUCUGACGGUACCCAAAGAAUAAGCACCGGCUAACUUCGUG
rnacentral:rRNA from 1 species